rnacentral:miRNA from 1 species
CGACUUUUCAGGAUUGUUGU